GAUGAACGCUAGCGGCAGGCCUAAUACAUGCAAGUCGGACGGGAUUGAGGAGCUUGCUUCUCAUGAGAGUGGCGCACGGGUGUGUAACACGUAUGUAACCUACCUUGUUCAGGGGGAUAGCCUCUCGAAAGAGAGAUUAAGACCGCAUAACGUAGUGAUGUGGCAUCAUAUUACUACCAAAUAUUUAUAGGAACAAGAUGGGCAUGCGGAACAUUAGCUAGUUGGUAAGGUAACGGCUUACCAAGGCUACGAUGUUUAGGGGAUCUGAGAGGAUUACCACCCACACUGGUACUGAGACACGGACCAGACUCCUACGGGAGGCAGCAGUAAGGAAUAUUGGUCAAUGGACGGAAGUCCGAACCAGCCAUGCCGCGUGCAGGAAGACGGCCCUACGGGUUGUAAACUGCUUUUAUACGGGAAUAAACCUACUUACGUGUAAGUAGCUGAAUGUACUGUAAGAAUAAGGAUCGGCUAACUCCGUGCCAGCCGCCGCGGUAACAC
rnacentral:rRNA from 1 species